GAAGGUAUAGCUCAUUGGUAGAGUGUGUGCUUAGCAUGUACAAUGUCCUGAGUUCAGUCCCCAGUACCUCCA
rfam:Camelus ferus unplaced genomic scaffold scaffold681, whole genome shotgun sequence.